GACGUAGGGGGCCAGCGUUGUUCGGAAUUACUGGGUGUAAAGGGUUCGUAGGCGGUGUAGCAAGUCGGGAGUGAAAUCUCUGGGCUUAACCCAGAGGCUGCUUCCGAAACUGCUGUGCUUGAGUGUGGGAGAGGCGCGUGGAAUUGCAGGUGUAGCGGUGAAAUGCGUAGAUAUCAGGAAGAACACCCGUGGCGAAGGCGGCUCUCUGGGACGUGACUGACGCUGAGGCGCGAAAGCGUGGGGAGCAAACAGG
rnacentral:rRNA from 1 species